GACGAACGCUGGCGGCGUGCUUAACACAUGCAAGUCGAACGAAGAGCGAUGGAAGCUUGCUUCUAUCAAUCUUAGUGGCGAACGGGUGAGUAACGCGUAAUCAACCUGCCCUUCAGAGGGGGACAACAGUUGGAAACGACUGCUAAUACCGCAUACGAUCUAACCUUGGCAUCGAGGAUGGAUGAAAGGUGGCCUCUAUUUAUAAGCUAUCACUGAAGGAGGGGAUUGCGUCUGAUUAGCUAGUUGGAGGGGUAACGGCCCACCAAGGCGAUGAUCAGUAGCCGGUCUGAGAGGAUGAACGGCCACAUUGGGACUGAGACACGGCCCAGACUCCUACGGGAGGCAGCAGUGGGGAAUCUUCCGCAAUGGACGAAAGUCUGACGGAGCAACGCCGCGUGAGUGAUGACGGCCUUCGGGUUGUAAAGCUCUGUUAAUCGGGACGAAAGGCCUUCUUGCGAAUAGUUAGAAGGAUUGACGGUACCGGAAUAGAAAGCCCGG
rnacentral:rRNA from 1 species